ACUAGAGUAGCACUCGCCAUAUCAAUAAGCGGAGGAAAAGAAACUAACAAGGAUUCCCCUAGUAACGGCGAGUGAAGCGGGAAGAGCUCAAAUUUGAAAUCUUAAAGGGUUUCCCUUUACGAAUUGUAGUUUAAAGAAGUGUUUUCUGUUGAGGUUUUGGUAAAAGUUCUUUGGAAUAGGACAUCAUAGAGGGUGAGAAUCCCGUAUUUGACCUUUACUUUCAACUUUGUGAUACACUUUCAAAGAGUCGGAUUGUUUGGGAAUGCAGUCCAAAAUGGGUGGUAAAUUUCAUCUAAAGCUAAAUAUUGGCGAGAGACCGAUAGCGAACAAGUACCGUGAGGGAAAGAUGAAAAGAACUUUGAAAAGAGAGUUAAACAGUACGUGAAAUUGUCAAAAGGGAAGCGUUUGACACCAGUGUUGUUUUUCUGAAAAUCAAUUAAAGAACUGUUUAUGCUAAGCUGUUUAGACUUUAUCAGCUAUCUGUUUAGUUUUGAGCUUUUCUUUAAUGCACUUUUCAGUUAACAAGUCAACAUCAAUUUCUUUUGCUGUAAAAAAGCUUGAGGAAGGUGGCUUGAGAUUCGUCUUAAGUGUUUAUAGCCUCUUGCCUAUGCAGUCGGAGAGAUUGAGGUCUGCAGCGUAGAUCCUUCGGGGCUAAAUGCAUUUGUGCUAAGUUAUAGCAUUUUAUAGACAACUUGUUGACUAUGAUUUGUCUUGUAGCUUACUCGCUUAUGUUAUUUUACCUACGCUUAGGAUGUUGAGCGCAUGUCUCUCUCU
rnacentral:rRNA from 1 species